CCUACGGGAGGCAGCAGUGGGGAAUAUUGCACAAUGGGGGAAACCCUGAUGCAGCGACGCCGCGUGAGUGAAGAAGUAUUUCGGUAUGUAAAGCUCUAUCAGCAGGGAAGAAAAAAGACGGUACCUGACUAAGAAUCCCCGGCUAACUACGUACUAGCAGCCGCGGUAAUACGUAGGGGGCAAGCGUUAUCCGGAUUUACUGGGUGUAAAGGGAGCGUAGACGGCGCGGCAAGUCUGAAGUGAAAGGCAGGGGCUUAACCCCGGAACUGCUUUGGAAACUGCCGUGCUUGAGUGCUGGAAGGGUAAGUGGAAUUCCUGGUGUAGCGGUGAAAUGCGUAGAUAUUAGGAGGAACACCAGUGGCGAAGGCGGCUGACUGGACAGUAACUGACGUUGAGGCUCGAAAGCGUGGGGAGCAAACAGGAUUAGAUACCCUUGUAGUC
rnacentral:rRNA from 1 species